CUCCCUCCCUGGACGAGCACGGGGCUUAGUCAAGUAGAACCGGGUUGCGCUGCUUGAUGCUCCGAUCGAAAAGAAAUCAGUGGGGCCAUGCCGGUACGACUGAAUAUGCGUUAAAAAGGUCAAUCCCUCCCCUACGACACCAAAAAAAACCGGGCCGAACUUCUAACAGCCCGCCCGCUUCCAUAGAACAAUAUCGUGGCAACGUAGACCUAAGUGGUCAUAUUGGAUCUUUGGGAACCAUCACAAGUGCGGCCGGCCUAUCUUUAAACGAGAAUGCCGUGUCGUCCAGCGGAGCCUAGAAGAAGGUGACUCGCGCAGACAGCUGACUCCUUCUUUUCAAUAGAAAGGAAUAGCCAAACCAACCCAGCUGGCUGGUCAAUCUCAGAAAUCUUAUCGGCCGGCAAACCGGAGACGGACGACCACGGUCCCGACCUUAUCAGCACCGGAGGUGUACUAAUCAAUGAACCCACCCCCGAAACCUACUUUAUUUUCUGACAAAAUAAACCAAGCCUAACCGGUCACGACAUGUUGUUGAUAUUGAUUGAGUUUGAGGGACUUUCGCUGACUAAAUCCAUCCAUAAACCUAGACCCCGGCUACUUUCGUAACCAAAGCGUCAAGACAACAGCCAAAGGUGACCUUUGGAUUCUUAAGUAGGGGGCAAAGAGGAGCACGUAGGAAUGCCGACCACUACAUAAGCCACUGGUGGCUGAGAGAAAGCGAGCAGCACCUUGUAUAGGUUGGGCGGAGCUUGAAGAAGCGAGCCCCUAUAAGAGAAAGCCAUUGCUAGCUAGCCUAGCUAGCUAGCGUUUUUCAGCUGGCUGUUAUGUUAGUUGUAGCGCGCCUUCCCUCCUUAUCUCACUUCGGAAAGAUUUAGCAGUCUUUUCUUAUGAUGACCUGGUCGAGAGAGUACGAUACAUCGGUGUAAAAGAUGGAGUGGGAUCUGUGAGGUUGGUUAUAGUAAGCCUGAAAGUUUUCUUGCCUCUAUCAUUGAAGGAAAGGUUGGUCAACAAUUUUGAGAGUUUGCUUCUACACGGAAACGAAGACUUUCGAGAACAAAUAUUAAACCGGGAAGAAAAAAGGGGAAAAAGUCAAUAAAGUCUAAGCGCAUAUGGCACGAAAAGGAAAUCCGAUUUCGGUAAGACUCGAUCUGAAUCGUAGUUCAGAUUCAAGUCGGUUUAGUGAGGGCGACCGCGAAAGUCACCGAAUGGGUCAGUCUUUUCCUUAAGUUUGUCCUAUAUAUCUGUUGAAUAAAAAAGCGUGGGAGGACGUUGCAGAUGUCCGGGACGGACACGACUUCUUCUAAGGCUAGAAGACCACUGGAAGACACCCGGGACCAGAGCAUGUCGUGAAAGAAGCACACUGGGCGGGCGUGCUUCGACCGUGUCUCCGGGGCACAGUUGAAUGUAGAUAUCAUGAACGCGAGGUGCAGGAUACCAGGCCGAGAAACCCGGGCAACCACCCCCUAUGUGCCGAUCGCUAGCGCAUCCAGGGCCCCGGCGCCCAGCCUCCGCUGGAGAGGCCUAGCCUGAUCUGAGAAGUGCUAAUUAGGUUCGGAUAGACUUCAUUCAAGAACGCCGCCGCCCCUGGAAUCAAUAAGAAAACAAGUGCUAAGUUUCAGAUCAGUGAAUAAACCGAAACGAAAGAAGAAAGAGACGUUUCUCGCUCGGCGCCUAAAGCGCACUAUGCUCCGCUUCAACAAAUGAGAGUUUUCGGUGGAACCGGUGAACCACGCGAGCUGGUUAGAUGCGUGGGACAGAGGGCUCAUAGUACCUGCUAGCGCAGCUAUGCAGUGGAAGGGAAGGAGCCUAAAUCGACCCCCUUCUUUUUGAUUUGAAAAAUCAAAAAGCAGUACAAAGAGAUUAGACUCUCGGAUGAGACUAAGCAGCCACCGACCGUUCCGACGCGCCCCUGACCUAUUUUUUUUAUUAAGACCGAAAACCUAUCUAAAAUGGAGCCUAGUUUAGGCUGUCAAACAAAUGAUAAAAUGGAAAAUUUGAAAGAUAACCACUAGUAGGGAUAUGGAUGGAGUCUCGCUCAGUAAAGAGAGUUGUAGAUUCGUAGAAAAGGAGAGGAGCCUUGACUUUCUAUGAUGUUAUUAGUCAAGAAGCGCUAACGCUGCAAUCUUUCUAAAGCAAGAAGCGAGAAACUUGACUUUGAGAAAGAAGGUGCUUGUUGCCGCUUUAUUUUUUUAGUAAGUAAACUUGUUUUCUUUUAUUUCUUUUAUAAGGCGAAAGGUUGCUAUUUUUAUAAAAUUCUUAUAGCGUUAGCGCUUUAGUUUUCAAUAAGUUUAGGCGCUUGACUAAUAACAUAGAAAUUUUGAAUCAGGGUGCUUCAGUCUGGUUUGGAACCCUAUACAACCAGAAGGGCCUUUCCUUUCAAAUGACAACUGCCUCUUCCUGCUGCGAAGGCCUUGCACGAAACCAACCCCCCCCACCCCCGAUCCAGUACCAGUAGUUUCGCUGGUAGGCCCACUUAUUCCUAGGUUAGGGGGGCAUUGUCCCUCAGUUCUUACCAACCUCCGGUGUGUAAUCGACAUGUUGCUAACUUCAACUCGGUUGAAUAAGAAUCAUUGAUUCCCUUUGCUAUCCAUUUCUUAUUCAUUCAGGGCGCUCGGCCGGUGCUCCUUUUUUAAACCAGAACAACUCUGAACGUUAGAGAAGAUAAGGGAAGACCACCUGAGCGAACCGACCGAGGGGACUUGACUUAUUUUAUUCGAACCGAACGAUAGCGGCUUAAAGCUAAGCCUAUCACGAGCAGCGUCGCUGCUUGAAGGGUUCGGCGGGGAUAAGCAUCUCAAAGUAUGGGGCAAAGGAUCAAGCGCUUUUACUUUGUCUCCAGGGACACAGGUUGGGUUUGAGAGCCGUGUGAUGGGUGACUAUCCAGCACGGUUCGGAGAGCACUUUUAGUCUGCGUUGGUGAAUGGAAGCCCCUCUAUAAAGCAAGAAAGAAGCGGCUAUUCCCC
rnacentral:sRNA from 1 species